GGUUAAGCGACUAAGCGUACACGGUGGAUGCCUAGGCAAUCAGAGGCGAUGAAGGACGUGCUAAUCUGCGAUAAGCGUCGGUAAGGUGAUAUGAACCGUUAUACCCGACGAUUUCCGAAUGGGGAAACCCAGUGCAAUUCGUUGCACUAUCGUUUGAUGAAUACAUAGUCAAACGAAGCGAACCGGGGGAACUGAAACAUCUCAGUACCCCGAGGAAAAGAAAUCAACCGAGAUUCCCCUAGUAGCGGCGAGCGAACGGGGAGCAGCCCAGAGUCUUAAUCAGCAUUAGUAUCAGGAGAACGGUCUGGAAAGUCCGGCAGUAAAGGGUGAUAGCCCCGUAUCUGAAGAUAUUAGUGUUGUGAACUCGACGAGUAGGGCGGGACACGUGUUAUCCUGUCUGAAUAUGGGGGGACCAUCCUCCAAGGCUAAAUACUCCUGAUUGACCGAUAGUGAACCAGUACCGUGAGGGAAAGGCGAA
rnacentral:rRNA from 1 species